rnacentral:lncRNA from 1 species
GCCUGUGAAGGUAAUUUGUCUGUGAAGGGAUCUCUCUGGCUUCAGCCUUCCCUGGCAGCUUUUCUGGGGGAUGUUUCCCCCUGUGUCAGGGAGGGAAUUCGGAGCAGCUGUGUGACACAGCACAGGUCACCCACCACAGCAGCAAACGAGGAUGAACUGUGACACCACAGCAAUAUUCCCUGGCUGGUGAGUGCCAUGCUAAAUGCACUUAUGGAGCCAGGGGAACACUCACUACAACUUUAGGAGGAAAGAAGCAACUGUUCUACUAAUGUGAUUUGAUUAAUUAGCUGUAGCAAUUACUGUGUGGAAACCAUGCACAACCCCUGGAUAUUCCAUUUCCUUUGUUAUUAUUUAUAAAGCUUUCAGAAUCCUUUGUCUUCUUCUAGGGGGAAUAUUUAGAUGGAAGUAAAGAGGGCCAGCCCAGCUUGGAAAGUGUGGGAAGGCUCCAAGACAUUUUGUGUGCUCUUCCAGAACCAUUUCUGAGACCUGGCAGGGGAUGGAAUUUGAGUUGUUAUUUGUGACACAUCUGAACAAAAUCUCUGAGAAUCUGAUAUUGGAGCAAAAGUGAACUUCUUAAGCCAAAUUCUCCUGAGAAACAGCUCGUUCUGCUUUGGAGUCUAUUUCUGUUCCAUUGGAGGAGAAGGAUAAGCCUAUUCUUAAACCAGUGCUCAGAUAAGUUCUGGCAUAUUUUACCCAUCACUGAUCAAGCACUUCAUCUAAUUAGCUCUGUAAUGAA